GGGUGGCUAUGGAGAGGCGUACUGCAGAGACACCUGGACGCGCACUGUGACAGGCGCCAUUCUGACACACGUGCUCUCUCACUCCCAAACACCACGGGCCGCAAGCGCUCACACCCACACUCACCUGCAGGGACCACGUGGGAGAAUUUGAAGGGCUGAUCCUGUCCCGGUGCAUUCGCAGUAGCAAUGAUGCGAGAAUUCGUUUUAACCUCGUCACUGACUGGACUAGACUGUAAACUCCUUGGCGUCUGGGAUGGCUCAGCCGUGCCCAGCACCAAGUGCAGGCACUCAAACCCCUGUGGAGUAAGUGACUGGAUGAAUGAAUGCAUUGGAACUGUUCACUGAGUAUCUGUAACAAUUUUGAUCCCAUGGUUUGGUACAAAGAAUUUUAUUGCAGUAU
rnacentral:lncRNA from 1 species